CGGCCGUGGUGAGGAACCCUGGAUUCUCAGCAUCACAAGAGGCAACACCAGGAGCCAACAUGAGCUCGGGGACUGAACUGCUGUGGCCCGGAGCAGCGCUGCUGGUGCUGUUGGGGCUGGCGGCCAGUCUGUGUGUGCGCUGCUCACGCCCAGGUGCAAAGAGGUCAGAGAAAAUCUACCAGCAGAGAAGUCUGCGUGAGGACCAAGAGAGCUUUACGGGGUCCCGGACCUACUCCUUGGUCGGGCAGGCAUGGCCAGGACCCCUGGCGGACAUGGCACCCACAAGGAAGGACAAGCUGUUGCAAUUCUACCCCAGCCUGGAGGGUGAGUGGCACAGGGCAGGGACAGGGACAGGCCUAGCCAAGCUGGGACUAAG
rnacentral:lncRNA from 1 species